rnacentral:snRNA from 1 species
UUGCUUUAGCAGCACAUGUACUACAGUUGGAAUCAUACAGAGAUGAACAUGGUCCCCAUGCAAGGAUGAUGCACAAAUUCAUGAACCAUUUCAUAUUUUU